AUUUUGUGCUAAAAAGAAAUUAAAAGUGUAUAUUGCCAAAUUCACUCAGAACAAAGCGGACUCCAUUUUGCUAUCUUCAGGAUAACAAAAACACAUAAUUUCCUUGAUUUCUCCUUAUUUUCUGUAACUAGCCACUUGUUUGAGCUGAGGAAUGCGUUACAUAAACAAACCAAGAUAAGCAAGGGGAGUGGAAUGCUCUGUCUAAAUGUUAAUGGAAUAGAUGCAAUUAUCUAAACACAGACACUAGUGACAGAGAAGACUAAGUAAUUAAUUUUACUUUCUAAAUUUUACAAGGUUCCAUUGUA